CAGUACGCCAGAGAAGCACCACAGCCAGGCCCCAGCCAACACUGCCAAGUGAUGCAGAUGCUGGCGAAGCAGGUUCUUCUUCUGCAAGCCGCCCUCCAUUAAGGCGACCAUCACAGGGCUCGGUGAGUGUGCCUAGGAGGCCAAGCAAGACACGUCGCGUUAAGCCUGAGUCUGCGGCUCCAUCAUCACCACCCCGGCGGCGCAUCUCCGCAGUGUUGCCCCAGCCACCACAGGCAAUUUUGGCAAGUCCACAAAGUGAUGAGCCACAAUCACCUCAGCUGUCUGAACCACCCAUCAUGGUCGAGGACGCCCAGCAGGAACCUGACCAACAGCCUACCUUCACACUACACCUGCAGCCCGUUGAUCCUACCCAGCCAACCCCGCAGCAGGAUAU